AACCCGUUGAAUGACAGCGUCACCUGCUGCAGCGCGGGAAGCUCGAACAACGCAAACGGAACGGCGCAGUUUAGCCUGUUGGAGCUCAAAUCCAGAACUUGCAAAUAGUUUAACUUUUUAAAGGUGGAAAGCAUCUUGGAAGACUCGGGAAAUUCAACUUUUGCUGUGGGUAACUCUGCAUUGGCCUGUAACAGAGGUUGAUAUUGUUGAACUUGCAACUACUAUUGAAAAGAUUGAAGGCCUUAUUGUACUUGUUGAAAGUUUUUCCUUUACAGAUUUAAAAUAUUAAGAUCAAGAAAAAAUGGAUCGAAAAUGGAUGUCUGCUAGUCGAUUGUCAAAAGAAUAUGAAGAUGGGGUGAAAGAGUUUCGUAGAUUUGCAGUUGAGCAUGCAAAAGAUCCUAGUAGAAUUAUUUGCCCUUGCUUGAAGUGCUGUCAUUCAAAGGUAGUUA